rnacentral:lncRNA from 1 species
GGGAGGGGCUGUCUUGGAUUAAACCCCUUUUGCCAGAGAACCCUGGAGAUUCAGGCCCAAGCCUGGAGAAUGGAGGUGCUGUUCUGCUUUCCCUUGUCUCUGGUGCUCCGUCCAGGACCCCGAGGGGAGGAGGUGUGGCUGGACUAAGGCCGAGGUCAGGCACCUCCGGAGUUCCUGCCAGCACAGCCAGAUGAUGACCUCCAGCCUGAGCACAAAAGCCUGCCUCCCAAGAGUGGAUCCCGGGCCAGAAGAGAUGCAGCUUCAACUCGUAAAGAAGAAAAGAGACCCCACAGUCACUCAGAGAGGCAGCGACUUCAUCUGCAGCCGAGGCCCAGUGACUCGGACCUGGGAAUUCGUAAACAUGAAAUCCAGGGAAGAUGUGUGAUCACCACUGCUCUCUUAGAGACAUCAGAGAACUGUGUCCUGCUCAAGACAAGAAGGCAAG